ACAGGUCCCUUUGAGAAGUUCAUACGAGUAACAACGAUCUUGCCAUUAACUGGUGAACAAUAUUCAGAGAAGGUUUCUGAGAAUUGUGCUGCUAUUUGGAAAUCAUUGGGAAUUUACACUGAUGCAGAAGCUAAGGCCAUUGAUAAAUUCUUAGAGGUCUUCAAAGCUCAAACCUUUCCACCUGGUUCAUCAAUUCUUUUCACUCAAUUGCCAAAUGGAUCAUUAGCGAUUCGUUUCUCGAAAGAUGGAUCGAUCCCAGAAGCUGAGAAUGCUGUGAUACAAAAUAAACUACUUUCAGAAGCAGUGUUAGAGUCGAUUAUAGGGAAGAAUGGUGUUUCUCCUGCAACAAGAGAGACUAUGGCUACAAGGCUAACAGAGUUAUUUGAGAAAAAUGCUGAAAUAAAUGGAACUAAUCAUAAGCUCUCAACAAUAUCUCCGGCAGUAACUUCCGUUUCUCAGAUUGAAGUCGAAACUGUAGCAUUCCCGCCAGCGGUCAAGCCUCCGGCUUCAAACAAAACUCUAUUCCUCGGUGGCGCAGGGGCUAGAGGACUGGAGAUCCAAGGCAAGUUCGUGAAGUUCACAGCAAUAGGGGUUUACUUGGAGGAUGAAGCAGUGCCGGUACUCGCCGUUAAGUGGAAGGGCAAGAGUGGGAAGGAGCUGACGGAUUCCGUCGAGUUCUUUAGAGACAUCGUUACAGGUCCCUUUGAGAAGUU
rnacentral:misc_RNA from 1 species